GCGAUCACUAAGAAGUGGUCCCCUCAUUAGUGUUUGCCAUGAAAUAUUCUGAUUUCUUUCCAUUUCUAGAUUUUUUAAAAAAAGAACUCCACGCUUAUGAUUUAUUAUUAUGGCAAUUUUAUGUUUGCUUUUGGGAUGCUCAGGCAGUAAGUCUUAAGCAGAGAUAAAUCACAUACGAUUUCUGCCAGGCCAAAGUCUGAAAUGUAAUGUUAGCAGACAGAAUUCCCAGCAUCAACAUAAUCCCUGCCUGCGACCUAAAUAUUCUCUUAAAGUAUAUUUUAGGGGGCAAAACAGAUUUAAACUCACUUUUAAAAAAGCCCAAGUCUUUUCUGAAGCUGUAAUUGCAGCGACGAUGCAAAAUAAAACAGUAUUUUUAUAAGGAUUGUCAUUGAGAGAGCUCUAGUAUUCCCUAAACCAUCUCUUUUCUCUGCAGGAGAGUGCAGUUGUUUCAUAUUCUACCUGUGUGAUUAUUCAAAUGAUCCGCCGGCUAGGUGUUUCAAAUUUGUCUCAGAAAGGAAAGAUCUGUCAUCGAUCAGAUCAGUUCAGUGGGGUGGGGAAAAAAGUGCCAAAUCAAACAAUAAAAUAAUCACACAUAGGGCUCAACGAUCCUUAAAUGAGCUGCAUGGGGCGGGUUAUCCGAGUAAAAUCUACAAAAUAGAAAUUACUGUGAAAUGCACUAGGGUAAAACUGCUUUUUAAGAGCUCUGAGGGUCUCCUGGAGGAGACAGAUCAGAACAAUUUGAAGCGUGUAGGUACUCUUUAGUCCAUCUCUUGCCGCGACAUUUCAAACCUCAAGAAAACCAGUUUCGAUUUCCCUCCCUUUGCUCUAGGACAAACCUUCUAUGCCAGCGAUGACUUCAGGAGAGUUGUCCACGCUGAGGUUUCUCCCUCAUCCUUCCCUACAAGAGAGCAGAGUGUAGACCAUGUGCGCCUCAUCGUCCCAGAACACAGGGCCAGUCCUAGCCUGGGGACACAAGGAUUUCAGCAGCGUUUUUCCCUGAGGGGCGGACUAAUUGUACAUAAUUCCUCCCCCCCUAUUCCUCCCCACUUACUUGAGCACACGCAGCUGCAGUCACCCUUGUGGCUUGGAAGGAAAGGCGGCCUCCUGCACCAAGGCUGCAAGGCCAGUUCCCCAAGGCAGCAGCUGCGAGAGGGAGGGGGGCAGGCGGUGAAAGCUGCACUUUCCUCUGAGCAGAGUAGUGUUCCCUCUGAGGGGCCCCCAGCCCCAGGAGCCGGCUCCCAAGCCCUGGGCCUCCCGCAUGGAAGCAAUGUUGCCUCCUCCAUAGCCACUAAGCCAUCCGGGCAGGCAAGGUUUGCAGUUUUAACUCUGGCUGUUCCACCACAUUGUCCUUCUUAGUUCAAGGGGCAAGAUCCAUGUGUAGGAAUCAACUGUUAGAACCAAGCACAGAGGCUUACAGCAAGAGAUUUCAAAGGCCCGAUUUAGCUUGUGAUUAAGAGAAUUCCACAAGAUAACAGUGAUGAUUGUUUCAUUUAAAAAAUCACAAAAAGCCCUGUCGUUCAGUGGGUGAGAAAGGGUAACAGAAUGGGAAGAUUCUACAAAGAAACACCUCCCAAGUGUGUUCGCUUUCAGUUUACUCUGUUGUAGACUAUUCAGUUUACGUACAAUAUUUUACUCUGGUUAUGCUGGCUUCAUUCAAAAAAGGGUUAUAAUUGCAUUUUACAGAAAACAUUCUCUAUCAGUUUCUAACCCUAGACUUAGAAAUGGGGCCAAGCCAGGAAGCAUAGAUCUCAGAUCAGAGCUGGAUUCAAACCUCUCAAAAUCUGGAAGUGGACAGCUCUACUUGGAAUCAUAGAAAUACCUAUUAGAGCAACCAGCUAAACUCCCUGCUAAUGCAGGAUUGUUUCCUUGCAUUUACUAGUGCUUUGUCCAGUCACUUAUUAAAUAUUCUGCUGAUGAGGCUUUCAUCACUUUCUGAGGGAGAUUAUUCCCCAACCUGUUUUAGGCCCAGAUUAUUAAAAGAUAUUUAGGCACUGCUGUUCUCAGCAUCACAACACCUAACUGAGUUAGAAGCCUAAAUAUCAUGUUCAAAGGGGAUUUAGGUGCUUAGGAGUCUAAAUUCCAUUGACAAUGGGAUAUAGACUCCUAAGUGCCUAAAUACCUUUUGAACAUGAUAUUUAGGCUCUUACCCCUAAAUACCUUUACCAAUCUGGGCCAGACUGUCAGGAAGACUUUACUUCUAAUUACUCUCCCUUUUACCACCUGAGGCAUUCGCCUCCUCACAUCCUUCCAAUAUUGAUAGAUGGUUUCCAGUCCCCACGUUGGCUGGUUUUUAGGACCAAAUUAGGUUUCCUGCUCCAGCGCCCCAAUUAUCGUUGGCCCUGUUUCUGUUAGAAAAACAACCAAGUCUGACAAAUUCAAUGGUGGCCUAAUCUUAUAGCUACAGUUGGGCCCGAACUAUAAUUGCCCAGCUAUCGUCAAUGGGGUCAACCCGUGUUAACCAGUUUUUAAUCAAAAUGUGUUUUCGGGUCUCUCUGUAUUACAAAUGGAACUGUACCAGAACUAAAUGAAAUAUUCCAGGGGCAACUCACCACAGUCAAAUAGAGAGGCACUGUUCCAUUAGAUGCUGUUUUGCCAUGCAGUGAAUUAGGCUUUUUAGUUGCCAUGUCACACUAUUUUUAAGGGUUUCUAUUAUGCUAAUCACAGCCACAGUUCUGCAAUGACGUACACAGAUGCUGAAAUUUAAGUGAGGGUAUGUCUACACAGCAAAGGAAAACCUGCGGCUGGCCUGGGCCAGCUGACUCGGGCUUGGACUGUGGGCAAAAGCUCCAGAAGAGUGUGUCUGGGCCACCGGUGCCUGAACCAUGGUCCUGCACCCUGCACUGCCUCUUCCUCCUGAAUCCCCCCUCCUCACACUCCUCCCGUUCCCCCGAGGCCCUGCACUCAUGCCACCUUCCCCCCCAAGACACUGCCCCGACACUCACUCCUCUCCCCCAUCGCUCACCCAUACGGCUGGUAAAAAGUGGGAGGCCAUAGCCUUCCCAUUUUUAAAAGUGAUGGGGCCAUGGCCUCCUGGCCCUCCCAUUCCAGCGCUCCUGGCUGUGGGGCUGUUUCUUUGCCGGGCAGACUUCCAGGCUCGGGCUGGAGCUUGAGCUCUGGGACCCUCCCAUCCCGCAGGAUCCUAGAGCCCGGGCUCCAGCCCGAGCCCAGAAAUCUACACAGCAAUGAAACAGCCUUGCAGCCUGAGCCCCGCAAGCCUGAGUCGGCUAGCACUUGCCAGCCACGGGCGUCUAGUUGCUGAAUAGACAUACCCUGAGUACUAGUGAAAGCAAUGGGGCUGCUCAUGUGCAUUAAACCACGUAUAUGUGUAAGUGCUUGCACACAUCACUGCAGCUUUGAUCAUAUUGGGGCUAUCGUUAGUUGAAAUUCCCUAAUAUUCUACAGGAUAGCCUUGUUGUGGCCUCCUUUGCCCUGGUACCUGGGUUGGGAAGCAGAUUACCAUCUUGUGUUCUUUAUCAGCCCAAAGAUGUCUUGGGCCAGGCUUCUAACUAAGGAGUCACCAGUGAGGAUUACUUGCCUAUUUCUUUCUGGUGGCUCCCUUUCAGUGCUUGCCUCUUGACUGUAGGGGCCACAGAUCUCUCUUUGGCUCUCCUUAGUCUCAUCCUUCUCUUUGUUGUUGACGAUGGCAUAUCUAAUGCAGCUAUUGAGACAAAAUGGCCCACAUUUCUCUUCUGCUCUUUCCAGCGGUUCUAGUCUACCUAGAUGCCAUCUUAUUUUUCCAUCUCUAUCCCAUUUUGGGUGUUAACCUCCUGCAUAGGAUAGUCCUGUUUGGUCUCUAUCUACAUACCUAUCCCCUAUUGUCUUUGCUCAGUGGAUUUAACUGACAUUCAAGUUGCUUCACCUUUUAUUCACAAUGGACGUGCCAUGGCAUGUGGACAUGACUUACCGAAUAACAACCUCUAAUUCUUAAAGCAGCUUUUCUUAUUUAGUGUACUUUAUAUUUAUUUACAGUUUACAGAAAAAUCUUUUUUUAAACAUUAAUUGCUGCUCUUUUAUUCCAUUCCCUCUCUCCUUUCCCCAGUUUGUUUGCUAAGGCCGAGGUUCCCAAACUUUUUUCCCUGAGGCCCACCUGUGCAGCUGCAAUAGGCACUGUGGCCCACUAUUAACACUUCUUGAGGAAAAGUAUUAAUUUUAAUUAUUAAAUACAUAUAAACUAUACAUAAAGAAUGUACAUGUUUCCUUUUCCUUUUAAUGUAAACAAUUGUAAUGAUGGCAAGCCCUAGCAAUAUGCAUUCAAAAAAAAAGCUUCAAGAUUUUUGAAACCAGAAAAUGUUAAUAAAACUGCACUUUAAAAAAAUGUUGAGAGCAAAAUGUGGCAUG